rnacentral:rRNA from 1 species
CAAGAUGAGAUCUCACUGGAACCUAGAGUUCCCUGAAGGGCCGUCGAAGACUACGACGUUGAUAGGUUGGGUGUGAAGCGCUGUGAGGCGUUGAGCUAACCAAUACUAAUUGCCCGUGAGGCUUGACCAUAUAACACCCAAGCAAUU